CCUGCUAACAUUCUACUGACUGUAAGUAACUUUGCAAGUACAUGUCAACUUAUUCGAACCCUAGCCCUACCAGUCUACUAAUAAUGUCCUAAUACUCUAAUGAGAGGUAAUAGAAAUGUAGGUGCAACAGAAUGUGGUAAAGGGACUAUCAAAAUAAAGUGAACCCGUGCUUCGUAAUAAUAUGACAGAUUAUAACUUGUAUUUCGGUAUAUUCUGUCUUUUAGUAGUUUUAUUUAGAAAUGACGACACGUAUUUGCUUGAUUAUCUGGUCAUCCAUAAUUUUUCAUCUGUAGGAUUUGCUUGAAGCUUUUUGGAUGCAGCAUUCAGAGCACACAUCUUCUUCCACUUCUUUUGUAGCACCAUCAUCUGAAUUCUUACAUGUACAGCAGAGGUCUGUCAGCUUGUCAUCGUUCGCUGAGGAAAAUACAUCUAAAUCUGGUUCUGUUCUGUCUCCUCGUACCCCAGCAUGUGGCACUAUUAAUGGCCUACAAGAGCUUUCUAUGCUUUGCCGUCAGUCAAUCUCCGCCUCGGUUUCUUCUCUCUUAGCAAUCGCUUCAUCCCUUCAACCUUCUUGUAACUUAAUAAACGCUCCACCCCAAGCAUCUCCCAGUUUUCCGCAGAGAGACCACCCUCCUCAGGAUGACUGGGAUGUGGAUCUGGAGGAACUGGAUAGCAUUCAAGGCUCGCCGUGUCCAUCUACACCUAUGUGGAAUGCAAAUCCCAUGCGUGACCCAGCUACACCAGUCUUGUGAUUCCCCAGUCCUGUUACUCUCAAGCCUUCAGUUGUGUCGCCACAGUGCCAGAGGGGUGCUUCAACACCAAGGACUCCGUUGCAGACCCAAGGGUCUCUUUUUCCACUCUGUGUCUUCCACUACUGAUUCCUCUUCCACAUUUACACCUCAUUCUCUCAACAUACCUGUCCUGACCAGUCACCUGGUCCAUCUGGUGUCUGCAGCCAAUAAGACAACUCCGAGAUCUCAGAGUCGCAUGAUGGGAGUCAAAGUGCUGUUUUAGCUGAUUAUUUUCAUUUGCAUUGUUCAAUUACGGUUUGUUGUCUUGUAGGUCAGUGGAUGGAGUCUUGAGGUGCCUGCACAUGGAGCUGCUGAUUGGCUAAGAAGUGAUCAGGUUUCCAGCUCUCAGGUGAGUGAGGAAGAGGAGUUCAGCAGGGAUUCAUGGGCAGUGAUGAAGACUGUGAUGGGAUUGGACGAGAAUAAUCCUUCUUGCUUUCUGCACUCUUAGUGUUGUCAUGGUACUCCGCAAGGUGCGAUGCAGGACAUGAUUCAUCAUCGCCUGGUAGAGGAAAGACUGGGAGAGCUCAGGACAGGAGCUGUGUUACUACUUAAACAAGAAACUAUAUUUCAGACCUCAUUAUAGAGUAUAAAAGGAAAUAAUAUAAACUUUAGAUUACACCAGAAGUUGUUUUAAUUUACUCUGUAUUAUCACUCUGAGCCAUGGCUUAAAAGAUAAUACAUGCAGAGCUGUGGGCAUUACAAGAUUAGUAGCACAAUAUUUUUAGAUUCAGUUCUUCACUCUUUUCUAUAAUUUCCAGUCCUCUACUGAGUUUCUAUCGAAUAAAGAGGCAAGAAUUCCAAAAUUCUCAUUAUUAUUAUUAUUUUUUUAAAGGUUGGUGUAUUUUCACCAUCACACCGAAAUCACUACCUGAAAGUCACACCCAAUAACCUUCUCAGGAUAUACCCACCUGAUGGGGUCUUCCAUAACUCUCUGCCAUCCCACCCUCCACUAGUUAGUCUUGUUCUGUUCUCCAGGGUAUUAUUACUCUUCUGUAUUUUCAAAAGCCUUUCUUCGGGUGUUUAAUGAGCCUGAUAUUGUGGUGUCCAGCAUUGUGCUUGUUUGUUGGUGAAUUUCCUGUCUUCGGGAGAUGAUCCCUUUCCAAAAGAAUUGCUUGAUUAAACAAUUUGUAGUGUUAUCUUUAUUAUUUGGUAAUAUUAUUUCACCCCAGUUGCUGCAUGUACAUGCAGGAGCGUGCAUUGCAUAGUGAACCCACAAGGCCUGCAGGGGACCUGGUCUCUCAGAUGGAGCUCCAGUUUGAUGAAGACGACAGUGAAAAUUAGACUGCUGAUGGUUUAGACUCUGCAGCUGUCUCUAAUGAGCUCCAUCAAGCACCUACAGUGUCCAGACCAACAGGAGACACAGCACGGGACACAGGUGUGUAUGUUGGAGUAUCAUCAAUUGAGCAAUAUCAUACAAGCAGCUUAAAGCAAGAGUGUUGUUUUAGUCUCAAAGUGAUGUACUGGGUGAAAGUUGGUGUGUAAACGAAUAUGUGUGUGACACAUUACUUUUUCCUGCUCUAACGGUGUCUACACUUGUAGUUUGGCUCUUUUAGUCUGGUCCAAAAAAAAAAAAGCAUUUAGUCCUGGUUGCCUAGUGUUAUCGCUGGCAUUUUUAACACUUAACCUAAAGAUACAAAAUAAGAGGCAUAUAGAUACGGGCACAGCCUAAUUGGACCGCGUUUAUGACAUUUUGCAAACUAAAAUGCUUUGUGCUGGGCUAAAUGCACUCUUUGUAUGUGUACAUAUGUGGUUGUAUUUUUACCAGCUGAGAACUUAUUAAGUUGUAAACACACUAAGUGUUCUAUAAACACUUGGCUUAAUAUUUUCCAUUUUCACUGCCAAAAAAAAAAAAAAAAAAAAAAACCUGCUCUGUAAUUUGUUUCCAAAUCAACAAUAUAAUUUGCUAAUUAACCAUAGUAGAAUGAUGCAUAAUUGGAAAAGAUAACAAGCUAGUUACAUGGUUGUUCCUCAGUCAUUUGAACCAUGUUGUUUUAACAAUAUUGGAUUCACGUACAGGUGGUGGCGUAAUCUCUUGUAAUUAAUAGCUUUGGGAAUUUAAUGUCUUAUGAUUAUAGUUUGCUUGCUAUGCUUUUGCGACCACAUGUUGAGAUAUGUAGUUUAAAACACAAAUUGUCAAUGCUGUUUGCCAGG